GGCAAAGCAGCAUUCCAUGGCAGAGCACUUGUGGGAUGUGCCCUGUAGUGAGACAUGUCUACUCUGAAUUUCUUUGGGAUACUGCCAAAAUGCUCUUUGAAAGACAGCCCUGCACGUGGAAGGUGCACUCCUUACAACAUCUUCAGUUCUGCUAUGGGAGAUAAGGUAUGGAAUGUUCAAGUAAAUUCCUGAAGGAGCCUUUAGAUGUUUGGCCCUUGGCUGGUGUGAAGAACAGGUGUUUCUGAAGAAGGUGACUCAAGAUUGCCCUUGUUUGAUGCAAUGUCUGGAGACAUGGGUUAGUUAGAAGCACACAGAUGUGACACACCUCUGGCUCCACAACAUGCUACCACCUUCAGAGCAUUUGUUAUUUGGGAGAAGAGACUGACUCUGAGCUGCCUACAACCUCCUUUCAGAUAUUUGUAGAGAGUGGUGAGGUCCCCCCUGAGCCGCCUCCUCUCCUGACUGAACAGCCCCAGUUUCCUCAGCUGCUCCUCACAAGACUUGUGCUCCAGACCCUUCCCCAGCUUUGCUGACCUUCUUUGGUCUUGCUCCAGCACCUCAGUGUCUGUCUUGGAGUGAGGGGCCCCAAACUGAACACAAUAUUUGAGGUGCGGCCUCACCAGUGCUGAGUAUGGGGAACGAUCACUGCCCUCAUCCUGCUGGCCACACCGUUUUGGAUACAAGCCAGGACAAAGAUGCUCUUCACCCACAUGCUUGUGGCUUUUGUUUUUUUCUGACAGCAACUGAUAACUCCAGAUAAUGGAACAUAGAUUGAAAAACCCAGUUUAUUAUCUUUUUUUUUGACAAUUAGUUGUUUACCCCAAGUGUAAAGCUAGACAAUUUAAGGCUAAGAGUAAAGUUCCAAGAUUUUACCCAUGAGGGCAGUUUGCCAUGGGAACAACUUAUCUAGGGAUGUGGUGAAAUUUCUACCACUUGAAAUCUUUAGAUCAGAAUUUAAUAUGUGGCUAAUAUGUAAAUAUAUAUGUUAGUUGAACAAGGAGUUUUGUUUACAGGGAGGAAAUUGCUGAAGGAAAUUCUAUUGUCUUCAAGGUGUAUGAAGUGCCAUUUGGGUUACAAAAAUGAGUCCACUCUGGUCUUAAAGCCAGUAAGCCAUAAUCAAACAGCCAGCAGAGACAUGAAGUAUCUGUUGUGUGAUUCAUGCUUUUUAUUGAUAUGCAGAGUGUGUAUUAGGUAGAACAAGAGAGCUAGGUGGUGGAACUUGUUCUGGAGAAGGUAUAGAGAGGAAAACUGUUUUAAUAAAUUGUUUUCAUCUUUCGAUUUUAAUUUUUUUUUUUUUAAUUUCAGAAAAGUUGGUUGUGUUGCAUCCCUAAUUAGAAAUUUGUGGUCAGGCAAUGAAUGUGUUGUGGUAAAAAAUCUGUGUUAAACACUGUCAGUUACAGCUAAAUGAAAAUGAAGGUAUUUUUAGCCGAACAAUAAUUUUCCUUAUUUGAAGAUUUUUGUUCUUUUAAUUAGCAAUUUGGAAUGCAGUACAUGGUUCUGGUCAUGCGUAUUGAUAUACCAUAUUUUAGCAUCCAAUUUUAUUUGGGCAGAUGACUGGAGGUAUCUUUUAGCCUUUUAAAAAUAUUUCACUAAUAAUAAAUGAAGACCAUAAGCACCUAAAAGCAGAAGAUAAUAUCCAAGCCCAAAAUGUUUGUCUGUGUAAAGGUUUUAGUAUGAGAGGUAUUGUACAGCCCAGUCUUUCUUAGAAGUUUCAGGACUAGACUCUUAAUUUGUUUAUUUUUGUCAUAAAUCAUGUUUUUAGAUAAUGCACUUGUGUUCCUCUUAUUUUCUAGGUGUCAAAACAUUUUUUUGAAAUGGGAAAAAGUGCCUAAAUUCUAAUAUUAUUAAUAUAUGCAAAGUACAACUUCCGCAUCUGAUGCUAUUCAUCACAUCCCAAAUUAAUCAUCAGGGACAGAACCCAAUAUCCCAUUUCAAGCAAAGACCAAUAGCUCUUGGCAAAAUUAAAUCAUCUUUCAGAAAUAUUUCACUCUGAAAAGCUAAUAAUUCUAUGGAAAUGGAUUUUUAGAAGAAAAACCUGAGUUUGUUAUAUAAUCUUUCUGUAGGGUUCUCCAUCUCAUACAUUAACAUUUCAUAACAUACUUUAAAUGAGAAUUUGUUGGGAAAUAGUUUACAAUGUUGUUCCGACUGUCACAGUCCUUUAAUGGUUCUGAAGUGAUAAUAAUAUGAUUUAGAAACCCAAGGGAACAUCACUUAAAUCUGAUUGAAGCAGAGACAAACACAAAGGAAGUGACAGAUGCAGAGCAGGAAAUUCUCAUUUUUGCAAUGACAUUUUUAUCUCAUCUUUCCCUCCCCUAUUCUACUUUAGAAUAGUGCAACCAAAUACUUCUACAGAAUAAUGUGCAAUCUGCUGUUCUGUUACCCUUCCCACUCAGUAUGAAGAUUUAAUGGAGAAUGGAAAAUGCAUAUUUACUUUUAACUUUUCUGCUGUGAGUGGUAGACAGCUCAUGGCGAUGCAGGGAGGGAGAAAGGACUUACAUCCUGUACAGAAGGUGGGAACAAGGGAGAUACUCUACUUAAGAGGGGAAAGGCUGAGGCUGGUUUUGGAUCUUUUUGUUCCAAUACGUGUUUAUAACACUUGCCACUUUAAAGAUAUGUUGGCCGUUUAAAAACAAAACCCAGAUAGAUUUUUUUUAUAUAUAUAUAUUUUAAAGAAGGUGUUCAGGUGUGCACGUCUGAAAGGAACAGGAACUGAGCUCAGCCACACUACCACGGGUUGAAUGUUGUUCCACAGUGCUUGCAGGUUCUGCUGUUAGAGAUGCUUGCAGUCUUCUCCUUGCCUCAGCACUAGUAGAGUCAUAAUGUGCUCUCACAGCCAGAAGAGAGGUUGUUUUGUAACAUAUCAGAACGUAUUUUUUUCCUUUAUAUGGGUUCUCAUUUUCUGAAUAUAUUUAUGCUCCUGGAGGUCAAGGUGAUAGUCAACAGGGCUCACACUUAAUGGAUCCCCAUCUUUGCCUGUGCACCCAUGUUGUCCUAAGUGCUACACUGCCUCCGGUGCCUGCCCUGUGAGACCCCUGGUCACUCAGCUACCUUUGAAGGAGCUGCAAAAGCCACCUUAGAAAAAGAAGUCUAUCAUCAGUAGGCCUGGUUUUGCUCUUGAGGGAUGUCUCCUUCCCCUGGGAAGUUCUUAGCAUUGUCAGUUGAAAAAAAGAUGAAAAGUCCUGCUCUGUUAAUGCCAGGAUGACUACUUUGAGAUUACAUUUGCACAAUAAACAAUGGACUGAAUACUUAUGAAUCUUUUCAGAAUAGUCCUAGCCAAGACAUAAUUUAAUCCGUAUGUUUCAUUGAAGUGACAUUUUAAUUAUUGAUUGUGCUUAAUGAAUAUGCUAACAUGUAGAAUUCGGGAGGUUUCUGCUGCCCCGCUGUGCUCUCUAGGCCCUCAUACAUUUUUAAAGAGGUGUCUGUAGGAGACAGUGUUCUGGGUUUACGCCAAGGCACCAUAAUGAAGACCACAUACAGAGUUCAAGGGCUGGUGCUUGUCCUUCAGGAAUAACAUCAGAAACUUGUUUUGUCUGACAGUUGUUCCUGAAAUUUUAAAUUAGAUUAUUCACUUUUUCCCUGUGUAAAUGGGGUAAGUUAUGAGUGGUUUCCCAUUCAGCUGGGGGCAUAAAAUAAGGUUUAACCUUAUUUUCCAUUUCAAAUUGGGGGAAGAAAAAUAAGUGGAAAGAAGUUCAGGCCAAUGAUCUAGUCAAUAAUAUAUUACAACUCAAGCACUCCUUCUGUAUGCAUUUGCAAUGAGAUUACAAAAGCUCUUAAGCCUUUCUGUCUUCUUGCUGGUUUUAAUACUCAGGUGAAAUAACCACUAUGCACAGUGGAAACAAAAAAUUUCUGCUGGAGAGGCCUUGACUGUGGUUUUGAAUACAGCCUCGAGCAAAGACUGAUGUUUAAAUUGCUUCACUCUAAAGAGCCCUGGGGUGCUCUGUUGUGUCUAUGGGGAUCUCAACAGAUGCGUUCAUAAAACUUUAUGCUGAAACCCUUUAUACAAUAACAUGUAUUAAAGUAGUGACAAUCAAUGUAAUAACAUAGAUGAAAAUGGGAAUCGUCUAGUGCACCAGGGUUGAAAAAAAUGUGCUAUUGUAAGCCUUUACAAAUGGGAGACAGAAGUGUAUCUUGAGAUCACAUUACUAUGGGCACUCCAUGAACUGAUAAAAUACCAACCUUGAAACUAUUAGACUGCAAAGAAAAAAAGCCCCUUUUUUAUUUUUUAAAUACGGAGUUAUUUAAUUUCAGUGAUUGUUAUUUUUCUAUUGUUUUUCAAGUGUUAGCAGGAUGUCUCCAGUAAAUCAUAAAUUAUAUGAUGUUACAGCUGCAAGCCAAAGCCCCAUGAGAAAUCAGAUAGUACAUAAAGAGGAGUGCCACUAAAGACUUGACCCUUAACUGUGUAUAAGCACAGUCUGUGUAUUAAUGAGUAAAGAAAUAUUAUAAAAAGGUGAUGAUACUGAGUCACUUUGACAAUAAUUUUUAUUAUUUAUAAUUCUAUUUCAAAAUUCUUUAGAGAGUUUGUGAAAAGCCUUUCUUUGGUGGGAGUUAAUUCAGGGAAGCAUAAAGUUAAUUUGUGAGAAAUUAGGAUGGGAUCAUCACUUUCAGGGAUGAAUUAAGAGUGUGGGUUCAGGGCUAGUGAAAUCCCAAUGUGUCAAGAUAUGAAAUUUCUAACAUAUAAGAGCUGGAAGCUGUAGUCCUGAAACCAGAGGCUGUUGCAUCCUUCCUCCUGGUACAUUUGGAGGGAACCUGCUGGCUGUGGGACGUUGUCUUACCAACGUGCAGCAGGUUCACCCAUCAUGGAGGUCCAGAAUUCAAGUACUCUUGAAUUGCAUACUCUUCCUGUGCCUGUCUCAUUUCAUUUUUCUCUGAGGAAAAAGAAGGAUUUAUAGACAGAUCCUCACUCUCUGGGAUGUCUUAUCCAUGUUAGAAGCUUGGACCCAACUUAUUGAUCCUGAUAGGAAGUUCUUGUGUAGAGUGAGCUUAAAGAUUAGGUCCUGGAAUGUUAAUACAUCUUUAUGUAACAGGUUUAUACAUUAUAAGCUUUAAGUUUAGUGCAAACCAAAGUGCUAAUAUGUAGCAUAAAUUUGAAGAGAGAUUUCCCCCCAAAGCCUGGAAAUGCAGCUGACAACAUCUGUUAAGUCUCUGUAGUUUGUAAAAAGGAGAGUUACUUUAUUAUAAAAGAAGAGGUUUCAGAUAAUCUGAAGAUCAUAUUUUUUUUUUCCAUCCCAGAGGAGCAGAUAAGAUUCUUCUUUCAGCCAGGGGAAAACAAUUCUUAUCGAUCCAUCAGUUGUACAACGAGUGAUGACAUGAAUUAAUUUAAACCGGCCUAAGGUAUCCUAAAAAAGUAAAAUUAAAUGUGUAACAGUAGGUUCUCCUCUUAUCUUCAAAUCUAGCAAAAAAUCUUAAACUUUUAUGAUCCCUAAGCAUGGUCUCAGGGCACAUGAAUGCACUGCUGCUAGUCGUCUCCUCUGCUGCAACCAGAACAUGUUCCUGCCCAUAGCACACCAUACCACAGUAUGGGAUCCCACACUGGUGUAUCAUAUAUGAUAUACCCUACAUGGUAUUCCAUAGUACAGUAUGGAUAUUUUUGAAGGGAAAGUACUUUUUCUUGGGGUUUUGUGCAAAGACGGUCUGCGUGAAUGAUUUUGCAGAGGAUGCUGAACAUCUUGCAUCUUGGCUGACUGGAUAUAUUCUUCUGAAAUAGUAUGCAGAUUUGUUCUUAGCGAUUUUCAUUGAAAAAGUAAGGGUUGUUCCUGCUUCUGGAACUGGAUGCCUUAAAGAAGGCUGUUCUGAAAGGUUGGGGUAAAAUGCUGAUUGUUGUUAUCUAUGCUAAUCACAGAGGCAUUAAGUCAGUCUACACUAGCUGAUGAAGUAGCGCUCUCUACCCUUAGAAUAUUUCCUUUUCUUUUGUACUUUUUUCUCCCCAAAAUUUAAAGUGAGAUUUGUAAAAUGGAUUGCCAGAAAAUGGCAGUCUGAGUAGAGGUGACAAAAGGUGCUACAUUGAACUUAGUUGAAGUGAAAGGCUUCUACCUUAAAGGUAAACAAAACUAAACUCUGCAUUUCUUUAGUUGCCCUUGGGGGUCAAAUCAAUAAGUACUCUUGUUUUCCUUGCUUGAAGUUUAUACUUUCUGUAGGAAUGUGAUUUUGCUUUCAAAAAGCCUUAAUUCUUCUUCCUUGUGAAAACAAAUUUCACGACCAACCCAUAAAUAAUCACAUGAAAAAAUAAUAGCAGCCUAAUUUACAUCUAACCUUUCUUUUUAAUGAUUAAUGGAUACUAUUUAUGUAAACUGUUUCUACAUUCCAGCGUGAAAUGAAAUUUAAAUUGCAAAUUUUACAGUGGUGUAUUUUAACUGGUGACCCUUUCCCCAAUCACAAAUUAAAAAAACCCAAUUACAUUUGUAAUAAAGAUGCUAAUGCAUUUCUUGUUUUUAGGGCACGUAAAGUUCUUGCUGCCAGCAACUUUAUUUUUCCUGUUGAUGAGCCAAUAAAAAUGUAUUUUCCAAAGUGCUCCAAAAUAUGUGUAUGUGCACAUUGAGGAAGGUAGCUAAAGAGUAAUUCUCAGCACAUUCACUUUGCAGCAGCAUUUGUGGUCAAGUAAACCUAUUGCAAGUUGAAGGCUACAUCGCAUACCAUUCUCCACAGUCAAGUGUAGCCUUUGAAGGGAAGUAGGUUUCCAACACAUCUGAGGCAUUGAACCCUCCCACCAGCCAACGGGCUCUUCAGCAGCUGUGAUUGCUCAGUCCUUCAAGGCUGGUGCCAAAGAUGCUCCUCUCUGCCUGCCUGCAGAGGUCUAAGUGCUGCACUUCGCUUGGAUUGCCCUUCAUCAGGGCUGCCAGGAGCGGCAAAGAGCAGAGCUCCCAGCUGAAAUGCAGCGCAGGUCCCUGGAGACUGGCUUUCUCUAACAAACAGCUCUCUAAAGUUAUCUGCGUUCCACAGAGUUUUUGAUUUAGGGUCUCGGAGGCAAUUUGAUUCCAGCCGAAGCAUACCUAUUAAACAAUGAUCUCUUUCUUUGCUUCUAAUUGCACUCAGGACCCUCUUUGGGGAUUAAAAUGAGAUGGCAUUUUUGUAACUCAUCACAUCAUUUGAACUCUCAAGGAGGACACAGAAACGGCAGAGAGAAGGGAGCUGGAGUGUUUGUCUCAUCGUAUUCAGAACCGUAUUCAGCUGUGACUUUGAAAGGGCAAUGCAGAUCUACCAGCUCCCUCUUGAGAAGGCUGGUGGCCACCGCCAGCUGUACAGACCUGCUGAGAUGCAAUUAAAGCCGAGGUGCUGCAAGGUCCAAUGAACUUGUCACAUCAGUUUGGGGGUCUUGAAGGAAUGAGGAGAAACAGGGACUUUGCAAGUGUGUGUGUGUGUGUGUGUGUAAAUUACACCAGAACAGGGUGAACUUUGCUGCUUUAGGGUUGCUGGUCUUCUGAAGGGAAUAUGGGCUGAGCUAUUCAGCUGGAUGUAUUUUCAUUACCAAGACAAACUAGACAGAAUCAUAUUAAAACUACCUCCCGAAGAACCUUUCUUCUUUUUUUUUU